rnacentral:rRNA from 1 species
GGCGGCAGGCCUAACACAUGCAAGUCGAGCGCGCCUUCGGGUGAGCGGCGGACGGGUUAGUAACGCGUGGGAACGUGCCCUUCUCUACGGAAUAGCCUCUGGAAGCGGAGAGUAAUACCGUAUACGCCCUUUGGGGGAAAGAUUUAUCGGAGAAGGAUCGGCCCGCGUUAGAUUAGGUAGUUGGUGGGGUAACGGCCUACCAAGCCUACGAUCUAUAGCUGGUUUUAGAGGAUGAUCAGCAACACUGGGACUGAGACACGGCCCAGACUCCUACGGGAGGCAGCAGUGGGGAAUCUUAGACAAUGGGGGCAACCCUGAUCUAGCCAUGCCGCGUGAGUGAUGAAGGCCUUAGGGUCGUAAAGCUCUUUCGCCUGUGAUGAUAAUGACAGUAGCAGGUAAAGAAACCCCGGCUAACUCCGUGCCAGCAGCCGCGGUAAUACGGAGGGGGUUAGCGUUGUUCGGAAUUACUGGGCGUAAAGCGCGCGUAGGCGGAUUAGAAAGUUGGGGGUGAAAUCCCGGGGCUCAACCCCGGAACUGCCUCCAAAACUGCUAGUCUAGAGUUCGAGAGAGGUGAGUGGAAUUCCGAGUGUAGAGGUGAAAUUCGUAGAUAUUCGGAGGAACACCAGUGGCGAAGGCGGCUCACUGGCUCGAUACUGACGCUGAGGUGCGAAAGUGUGGGGAGCAAACAGGAUUAGAUACCCUGGUAGUCCACACCGUAAACGAUGAAUGCCAGUCGUCGGAUAGUAUACUAUUCGGUGACACACCUAACGGAUUAAGCAUUCCGCCUGGGG